GCGGGUGUCGUAUAAUGGUAAUACCCUAGCUUCCCAAGCUAGAGCCGUGGGUUCGAUUCCCGCCAGUCAUCACA
rnacentral:tRNA from 2 species